GGAUCAGGAGACCCAGGGACACUGUCUCCCCUCUGAGACAGGGGCAUCACCCAGCUGAGGGUUUCUUCUUGCCCAGGACUGAGCCCCAGGACGAGGGAAGAGGGAGGAGAAGCCCGCGGCGCCCGCACCUGAGCGCAGCAGCGUCUCCUUCCUGGGUGCCAGGUAACUGCGGAGCCACUCCACACACUCGCCCUCCAGGUAGGCCCUGCGUCUCUCUGCCUCACCAUCCCGUUCCCACUUGUUUUUGGUGAUCUGCGCCGCUGUGUCCGCCGCCGUCCACGUUUUCAGGUCUUCGUUCAGGGCGAUGUAAUCGCGGCCAUCGUAGGCGUGCUGAUUAUACCCGCGGAGGAGGCUCCCGUCCGACCCCACGUCACAGCCAGACAAUCUCUGGACGGUGUGAGAGCCUGCGGGACCCCGCGGUCAGACCCGGCCCCGCCCCGGCCCCGGCCGGGCCAGAAGCCGACGCCUUCAAACCGAAAGGGAAACCGGCCCGCGUCGAUUCUGCUCCCCAAUUUCGGACUUGGGACCCGGAAGUCUCUGGCCGUGUGGACCCGGAGGGGUCGUGACCUCCGACCCGGGGUCACUCACCGCCCUCGCUCUGGUUGUAGUAGCGGAGCAGGGUCCUCAGGUUGUCUCGGAAAAUCUGCUCCUUUUCCUUGACUUUCCGUGUCUGCCGCUCCCAAUACUCCGGCCCCUCCCGCUCCAUCCACCGCGCCCGAGGCUUCAUCCUCGGAUUCUCCGCGUCGCUGUCGAAGCGCAUGACCUCCCUGUCGUCCACGUAGCCGACGAUAAUGAACCGGGGCUCCCCGAGGCCGGGCCGGGACACAGCGAUGUCGAAAUACCGCAGCGAGUGUGAGCCUGGGGGCGGCGUGCAGUGAGACCCCGACCUCCUCCCGGGACCCCGGGCGGGUGCGCGGGCCGGGCGGGGAGCAGGGCGCGGGGCUCGGGACGCGGGUGGAGAAGGGGCGGGGGUCUGGUGUGCGACGCGGGGACCCGGCUUCCCCGAUGCCCCCCCUCCGCCCCUCCCCGCAGAGGCCAUUUCCCUCCCGACCCCGCACUCACCCGCCUGGGUCUGGGUCGGGGCCAGGGCGGCCGCCAGCAGCAGGAGCAGCGUGCGGGGUGCCAUCGCCCCCAAUCGAGAUCCCGGACGCCGCUGAGUCCCGCGGGCUGCGUGGACUUUAUAAUCCUGGCCGACGCUGAUUGGUUCACAGGGAUCGCGGCAGCCCUUGGAAGUGAGAAUUGCCAGCGCGUCAUCAGUAUCCGGGCAGAAGGACCUGACACAGAAGUCAGACCCUGGAGUCUUCUAGAAGAAAAGCCACUUCCGGGAAUACAAUCACAACACAAGGGGUUGUGGGUGCGGUGGAGAGACGCUUCUCCUUUAAGAGGAGGCGCUGGCCUGCAAGCCCCACCCAGACCCCACAGAGACCAGGCUCUGUUCACCUGCAUGGGCAGCUCACACUGCCAAGCCUGAGUGCAGGACUCUCAUCUGUAAAGAGGAGACUUUGCCUCUUCCCUCAGGAUCUGUCUUCUCAACCUCGGGUUUAGACCCAGACUCCUUGUGUUUAUUCCCAGAAGAUGCAUCUGUGGCUCCAGGUACCAGCAUUGCCUUGGGUGACUCUGGAGAACCAAGCCUUCUUGCCCAGGUUCCUGUGGCAGUGACAACCAGCUGCUGACUGGAAGAUCCCAUAUCUGCACUGAGUGAUUGGGUGUCACUGUAUUAGUUACUGUGGUCCUUUGGAUAAAAUGACCCCCAUAUGCUUGCUCAUUUGAAUACUUGGUUCCCAGUUGGUGCUGUUUGGGCAAGCUUAGGAGGAGGGGCCUUGCUGGAGGAAGGAUGUCACUCGGAGCAUGGUUGGAGAUGUGAGCUCUCAGACAGUCCUGCUGCCACGCCUGGCAUUUGCUGACACGAUGAUGAUGGACUCUUAACUCUCCGAACCCUAUGCUCCAAAUAAACCUUCUGAGUGUUUUACCGAAGUACAUAAAUGUGGCACUGACAGACCAGAAGAGGGCGCUGGGUCCCUCAGAACUGGAGGAACCUCUGUAAGAGUAGCACCGCUCUUAACUGUGGAGCCCUCUCUCCACACUGGUGAGCUCAAGGUCACCUCCAUCCCCAACGCACACACGCGUGCACACAAAUUCUUACUUUGAGAUGAGGUCUCAUUGUAUUGCACAGACUGGCCUUGGAUUCACUCUGUAGCUCAGACAGGCUUUGAACUUGC
rnacentral:lncRNA from 1 species